AUGUCUUAUGACAAUUGCUGCUGACAGUUCAAAGACUUGAUCACAAUCCACUGAUUCUUUCUUCAUUUCCAUUUCUCUGCACCAUAAGAAUAUCAUUUCUGCGCUCCCAACGACUUCGGAAUCUCUUCAUGAGGCUAUAAAAAAAAAUAGCAAAUAAUAUGUUGAGAUAGCAAACACCAUGGCCGGAGGGUUAUUGAACGGAAAUGGAAAUCCUUGGACUGCUUGUGCUCUUCUAAGAAACUUGUGCCAAUCCUAACUACUCCUGAGGGGUGGGACCAUUUCUCCAGUGUACUUUCCACAUUUCUACAGAUCAGUCUGUAUUUGUACAUGCAAAAAGGGUACGAAAAUAUCAACCUAACCUCGAAGAGAUAGGAUGAAUAAAGAGUGGGAGAUUUAUUCAAACUGGGAGGAAUGUUGAAAGUUUUGUACGCGUUAGCAUUAGCACUAUUUACCCCAUGUGAUUGGUUGUGCUGAGGAAAUAAGCCGAUUUCUUCGUUGAAAGUCACGAAGAGGGAGGUUUCACUCCCAAAUAUCGUACAUUCCUCUUGCUCCCAAAUCUCAUUCCAGUUUUCUCCCCUAUGCGAGACGAUCGGCUCUAUUAAUUUAAUAUCCCUGGGAUUCUCUCUGUUCGCCUCUAUCUGAAGAACUUUUCCAUCUCCUGAUGAUGUUUUCGAAUAUCCGGUUGGGAUGGUGAAAGAAAUGCCGGGAGGAAAGGAAUUCGUCAGUUCUUCCGUUUGGAAAAUUAAAGAAUCUUUUUUUUUUCAUUCAAUAAUAAUAUUCAAUUAU